GGGACACGUGGUAUCCUGUCUGAAUAUGGGGGGACCAUCCUCCAAGGCUAAAUACUCCUGACUGACCGAUAGUGAACCAGUACCGUGAGGGAAAGGCGAAAAGAACCCCGGCGAGGGGAGUGAAAAAGAACCUGAAACCGUGUACGUACAAGCAGUGGGAGCACGCUUAGGCGUGUGACUGCGUACCUUUUGUAUAAUGGGUCAGCGACUUAUAUUCUGUAGCAAGGUUAACCGAAUAGGGGAGCCGAAGGGAAACCGAGUCUUAACUGGGCGUUAAGUUGCAGGGUAUAGACCCGAAACCCGGUGAUCUAGCCAUGGGCAGGUUGAAGGUUGGGUAACACUAACUGGAGGACCGAACCGACUAAUGUUGAAAAAUUAGCGGAUGACUUGUGGCUGGGGGUGAAAGGCCAAUCAAACCGGGAGAUAGCUGGUUCUCCCCGAAAGCUAUUUAGGUAGCGCCUCGUGAAUUCAUCUCCGGGGGUAGAGCACUGUUUCGGCAAGGGGGUCAUCCCGACUUACCAACCCGAUGCAAACUGCGAAUACCGGAGAAUGUUAUCACGGGAGACACACGGCGGGUGCUAACGUCCGUCGUGAAGAGGGAAACAACCCAGACCGCCAGCUAAGGUCCCAAAGUCAUGGUUAAGUGGGAAACGAUGUGGGAAGGCCCAGACAGCCAGGAUGUUGGCUUAGAAGCAGCCAUCAUUUAAAGAAAGCGUAAUAGCUCACUGGUCGAGUCGGCCUGCGCGGAAGAUGUAACGGGGCUAAACCAUGCACCGAAGCUGCGGCAGCGACACUAUGUGUUGUUGGGUAGGGGAGCGUUCUGUAAGCCUGUGAAGGUGUACUGUGAGGUAUGCUGGAGGUAUCAGAAGUGCGAAUGCUGACAUAAGUAACGAUAAAGCGGGUGAAAAGCCCGCUCGCCGGAAGACCAAGGGUUCCUGUCCAACGUUAAUCGGGGCAGGGUGAGUCGACCCCUAAGGCGAGGCCGAAAGGCGUAGUCGAUGGGAAACAGGUUAAUAUUCCUGUACUUGGUGUUACUGCGAAGGGGGGACGGAGAAGGCUAUGUUGGCCGGGCGACGGUUGUCCCGGUUUAAGCGUGUAGGCUGGUUUUCCAGGCAAAUCCGGAAAAUCAAGGCUGAGGCGUGAU
rnacentral:rRNA from 1 species